rnacentral:tRNA from 1 species
GCAGCUGUGGUGAGCAUUUUGGGGCGGACCAGCAUUGGCCUCCGAAGCCAAGGGUCGCUGGUUCUAUUUCAGCCAGCCGCACCA